rnacentral:tRNA from 2 species
GGAGGAGUGGCCGAGUGGUUUAAGGCGGCGGUCUUGAAAACCGCUGUGUCCGAAAGGGCACCGUGGGUUCGAAUCCUACCUCCUCCGCCA